GUGGGCUAGCAGGACAGAGAAGUGCAGAAGAGUGUCUCAGCUGAUUCACCGUUUUGAUUAAGAUCACUUCUCUCUCUCUCUCUCUCUCUCUCUCUCUCUCUCUCUCUCACUAACCUAAUGAGCUUGUUUGUGAGAAGGGUAGCUGUAGGUAGCUAGCUAGCUAGCUCGUCGUCCUCUCAGUCGAGUGAUGAGGAAAUUCUGAAAUAUAUAUGAGAAAGGUGAGUUGAGCAAGAUGGAGAAGCAGGGCACGUGCAUUUCUAACUCAUUCGAUCGCGUAUACUGAGAUAUAUAUGUACUGCUUUUUAUUUAGCAGCUGGGAAUUUAUUACAAGUUUAUAUGUGUGUUUCAUAUCCAGUGAUGAGUUAGUUGUUCAUGUGCCCCUCUUCCCCAUCAUGACCACUCCACCUUGUUUCUUCCAUGAAGAUUGUCACCGUGGAUCAUAACCAUGCAGACAUUUCAAUUCAGGUGUUCAAUAAUGCCGAAUAAUUAGCUCCACUUCAGGUUUUCAUUUGUCCCCCUAGCACGUAUGAGGAGGAAAGUUAUCCAAUUGUGGAAGUAAAUAAUGCUUUUGAAAAGCAAGCAACCCCGUCAAGGUCUUACCAUAAUUGCUAUGAACAUCAUUUUUAUAACAAUGAUAUAUUUGGACAGUAUGAAGUGUAAUUACCAUUAAUCCUUUUCACUUUCUCACUAAUUAACCUUUUCUUUUCUUCUCUUAAUUUCUGGCAUCCUUCAUAUUGCUCCUGUUGUCAUUCUUGUGCGGAUACUGAUCGAGGUAAGUCAGCAUAUUAUGAGGGGCUUUCCUGCAACGGUGAUAUGCUCUUUUUUAUGUCUAAAUGACGAAGAGGGACUUGCCUGCAACAGAAUUUUAAAAUUAUGAGUAGGGACUUGCUUACAAUGGAGAUAUACUUUUUGUGGUAUUCCUUCUACGUUGUCUUGCUCACUUUCACAUGAAUACAAGAUAACGAUGAGUGAGAAAGACACGUAAGGGCUAUUAUAUCACUGUCGCAGGUAGGUCCCUCUUCGUCUUAACGACAAGACAACGAGAUGCUUCUACCAAACUAAUACAACUCUGCUUCAUGGUUUUGCAAGAGGGUGCUAUAGGAUGUGUGGUUUGUGUUGGUGUAUGAAUGAAGUUUGAGUGUAAUUUGUGUUUGUAGAAAGUAGUUGAAGUGUGGUUCAUAUGUAUA